AAUAAUUAAAUAAUUACUAUUUUCGCGCUCCUCACAUUUUUUCAUUUUCCCUCUCGUUUCGUGUUUGCAAACUCCUUACCCAUUCUCAUUCUAGACCGGAUUGUUCGACGAGGUAUUGUCUUUAGUGAUAUUCAGUACUUCAACAGACCGAGUCGAAUCGCUAUGAGUCAAACUCGUUCAUUGCUGAGUUAUUAUCCGAGUCGUCAUUGUCCUCGAUGAAAUCAUUGACUAGUUAGGAGAGGCACGGCGAGUCGCCGUCACCGGAAUGUUCGCUCCCGCUGCUGGUGUAGAUUGGUUGCCGAUGGUCACCGCCAACUAGACGCACUUUGGCUUUGUCAUCGAACGGGAUACGUUAAAAGCUUCAAGUUUUCUUAGAAGGCUACAAUUGAACUGACGUUUAAUUGGGGUACUGAAAGUGAUCCAGAGUUCAAAGGAUACCACAAUGGCAAUUCUGAAACUCGUGGCUUUGGUGAAGCUACAACCUUUUUAACGAUGUUGCCUCUUUGAAGUUCCAACCUAUUUGUAAUUGUUGUUCUCUAUGCUUAACCUUAUUCUCAAUUUUGUACCAUCUUCAAGCCAGCGUGGAAGUGUUUGGUCAAGGCAGUUCUAGUGAGGUAAACUAUGCAAUUAACAUAUUAAAAGAUAUGGUUCUCUCAUUAUUAAAAUCAUGUCAUUUAUUUCAAAUAAUGGAACCUAGAUAUAGAACAUAAAGGUGACAAAGAAUGUCCAUUCUAUAAAUUUGAUUCUUUUUCUGAGUUUUUUUUUUUUUCAAUUUAUAAAGUAUUGUUGAAUUUGGCAGGAAGUGUGGUUAAAGGAAUUUAAAAGGAAAGGGAAGUGGAACAAAUAAUUUUGUUCUUCAUUUCAACCUCGUAUUUGCAAUCCCUAAGCGUAGUCUUCUUAUUGUUGUACCAUUUUCAAGCCAGAAAUCUUUAUAUUUAAAGGCGAUUCAGCUGGAGGAAGUGCUAAGCAAGGGCGUGACAGACACUUCCAGGCCAUUCUCCCUCUGAGGGGUAAGAUUCUGAAUAUUGAAAAGAGGGAUGAAGCAGCAAUGUACAAAAAUGAAGAGAUCCAAAAUUUAAUUUUCGGGCUUGAUCUUUGUGUGAAGGUUAAAAUACUUCCUGUUUCAUUAAUUUGCUAUUAAUGGCCGAGUUAAAGCACGCAAAUAAACUGAUAAAAUCCGACAAGAAAUUUCGCUACCUUAAGAACGUUAUAGUUACGAUCGCCGUUCACUGGGGUCAUCGGCUCCACUGUCAUCAAGUCACUAACUUCUUUGAUCUUCUAUCACUGGACAGGCGUCAAUAAUUAGUGAAAGUUCUGAAAGACAGGCCAUGAUUAAGUGUAAAUAAAUUAUAGAAUAUUACUAAAUUGAGAUAUCUUCAAUUGCUAAAUUGUAAGUUUUUGUCUUUGUCAUUUUCUUCUUAAUUAUAUUGAAACAGAAGUAAUUUGACAUAUGAUCUAGAGUCUAGUGGAAAAGUAACUUGUAUGAAGUUCAAAUUUGAAAAAGUAAAUUCAAUCUUUGAAUUGCUGAGAUUUCCAAAUGGAGGCCAACAAAAGAACCAAGUAACUUGGUAGAAGUUUUGUGCACUGUUGUCAUGGUAUUAUCUCAACCUUUUUGAGUUUCUGGGUAAAUUCAAUCACUAUUGAUCAUUGCAGCGGUGGAUGUUGUUGUCUACGGGAAAUUAAUAUUUAAAUUUUGUAACUUGAGGACGAUUGAAGUUCUGAUAUGAAAUUCAACGUGAUCAUGAUGGAUUUCGAAUGCUGAAAAGAAGGAUGUGGUGGUAAUGUCAUCAACAACCUAACACUCAUUGCUUGUUACAAAAGAUGGGAUUUUAGUGUUUAACUUUGAAAUAUUCAUCAGUUAUCACCAAUUAAAGUUGACAGAGAUUGAAAUGUCAAACUUGACUUAGCUUUGGUU